rnacentral:piRNA from 2 species
UCUACAACCAGGACCACGAGCGCCUC